GCGUCAGUCUCAUAAUCUGAAGAUCGCGUGUUCGA
rnacentral:tRNA from 1 species